GGAGGAGGAGGAGGAGGGGAAGAGAAAGGAGGAGGUGGAGAUGAGGAGGAGAAUCCUAUCCAGAAAGCAGAAGAUGAUUUCUGGCAUUUACUGAAUCAAGAGAAACAAGAUAUUGAGAAACGCGAAAAGAAGCGCCAAGAAGCUUUCUUACCCAAGCAUCAACCAACACCAAUACCUGAAGAAACUGGAGAAACACCUUCUGCAGAUGAUCAAGAAGAAGGAGCUUAAAUUUUAACAAUAAAGGCAUAUGACUUCUUGCAAUUUCUUUCCCUCUUUGUCUCUUUCUUCUUUUCAUCUGUUAUCCCUCAUCUGUCUUUCUCUUUCACCUCUCUCGCCUACCCUCUCUGAUAUUUAUAAUUAUUAUCACACAUCAAUACAAUACAAUAACACAAAACAAUGUUCUUCUGUUGUACACAACUACUUUAACACAAAAA